CAUCGACUCACAGCCACCAGUUCAAGAAACCACUGACUAAAAAGAAUGACUGAGCAGGGAGAUUAAUUAGCGUGAGAAGCAAGACGAUUAUUACCCAACUGCAAACAGAAUACUAAUUAUUAUGAAAACAAGGAGCAGUGAGUGCCAGUGGCCAGGAGGAGCAGCCAGGAGAGAGAGGUGACCCUGAAAACCCUGAAAAGAUGUGGAGUCCUCUGGGUUGCCUGGUCCUGGCAAUAUCUGGGGCUAGGCAUAUAUUUAGGAGGCUGCUCCAAGGCCUCAUAAGUUGAUUGGUGUAUCCUGGAGGAUAUUCUUACAUAACCUUGGGCCUGCUGUUUUUGCCAUUUAUUACUUUUUUUCAUGACAACCAUCUGACUGUGCUUUAGCUAACAAAGCUUACAUGUUUAACAGGGACACAGCAACACGCCAAAGGUAAAACUGUUGAUCUGCAACAUCAGCCUCAUUAUUCAACUACACAAGCUAGCCAAGAUGCCUGCAUGUAUGCUUUGUGUUAAUUGUUGUGGAAAAUGCCACUGUAAAGGUGAUUCGUAAGGACAGUUUUGCACAGCCAUGACUCAACGUGUGCAACCCUAACACAGCGUGUAGCAGCCUCAUCUCACCAACAAUUGGUCUCCAGAGACAUGCUUCUGAAGGUAUUGUUGUUUAUCUGUAGCCUGAUUCCCUAGCGCUGCUUGCUGUGUACAUCUCCUAAGUGUUUAAGUGUCUGCCAGACUUCUGUCAGCAGGAUUAAUGUCUCCAGCUGUGUCACUAUUGGAUUAUUUCCCUUUGAUAUCCUCAGAGUUUUCCAAGCUCACCAGCUGUAACAUUUUGUUAGUGUUAAUCUUUGCAAGGACUACCAAAAACCACAGAUGUGUGAAAGAUACAGUAAAGUUUACACAAAACAAAAAGAAUUGUGAGGCAGAGAUUAGUUUUCAAUUACUGUUUAAUUGCAAUGAUUGAAUACACAGUCAGGUUUUAUAAUUCAGGAUAGUGGCUGCAAAAUAUGGUAAUGGGCAAGGGUAGGUAUUUGAAUUGCUAGGGAACUACUGAAUCUGCCUGCUAUUCCAGGGGCUGAGUUUCAGACUGAGGGAGGGUAGGUUCACGAUUCAUUGGCAGCUGUUGUUUGUUGUUUGGAAAGUAUUCCCUUUCCUUGGAAUGUGCAAAUGAGAAAAAGAAUAUCCCCUUGGUAAAUUGUGGGAGUGAAGGGUGGAGAGGAA